GGAUUUGAUUUACAAAAUUUGUGUUUUGUAAUAGUGUAUUCUUUUAUAUACAUGGUAAGUAAAUAAUUAUCCUUCCCCUAUAUAUUUCCUCCUCCUCCAAGCCAAUUCACUCACACAAGUCACUACAUCCCCCCUCUUUUUUUCUCACAUAUCCUUCUCCAUCUCUGGAUGAAGAAAGAGGUUGGAGGAUGAAGGAAAGGUGAGUUAGGAGAUGCCUGGCUCCCUGUACGCCCCACGACAAAAUCACUCACGAUGACGGAGUGGCUGAGUCGAGUGGCAUACCAGGAGUCAAGCAUACCGAAAUCCAUCCACCCUUCUGUCUCCUUCGACCUUUUUCUUUUGAUGGUAUGUCAUGCAUGUUGUCUCGUAUAUUCUUUAGAUUCAAAGAUUUGUAUUUCACAUUAUGUGAAGGUAUGUUCGUAUGCCUCCCUGAAAGAUUUGGAUUCAUUAAAAAAUAGAAAAGCCUAGCAUUAAAUAUUAAUUUUCCUUAUUCAGUCUUACGUUUCACAAGUUGGUGUUAAUAGUGACAGGGAAGCCAAAUUUGAGCAUCAGGGAUUUUGCACAAGAACUUACCUUGAACUCUGGCGAACUUCUUAAUGACG
rnacentral:lncRNA from 1 species